AAAUAGAUACCCGGGUAGUCCACCCCGUAAACGUUAGGAACUAGUUGUGGGGUCCUUUCCACGGAUUCCGUGACGCAGCUAACGCAUUAAGUUCCCCGCCUGGGGAGUACGGCCGCAAGGCUAAAACUCAAAAGGAAUUGACGGGGACCCGCACAAGCGGCGGAGCAUGCGGAUUAAUUCGAUGCAACGCGAAGAACCUUACCAAGGCUUGACAUACACGAGAACAUCCCGGAAAUGGGGGACUCUUUGGACACUCGUGAACAGGUGGUGCAUGGUUGUCGUCAGCUCGUGUCGUGAGAUGUUGGGUUAAGUCCCGCAACGAGCGCAACCCUCGUUCUAUGUUACCAGCACGUAAUGGUGGGAACUCAUGGGAUACUGCCGGGGUCAACUCGGAGGAAGGUGGGGAUGACGUCAAAUCAUCAUGCCCCUUAUGUCUUGGGCUUCACGCAUGCUACAAUGGCCGGUACAAAGGGCUGCAAUACCGUGAGGUGGAGCGAAUCCCAAAAGCCGGUCCAGUUCGGAUUGAGGUCUGCAACUCGACCUCAUG
rnacentral:rRNA from 1 species